AUUGAACGCUGGCGGCAGGCCUAACACAUGCAAGUCGAACGAGUGGCGGACGGGUGAGUAAUGUCUGGGAAACUGCCUGAUGGAGGGGGAUAACUACUGGAAACGGUAGCUAAUACCGCAUACCAUCGGAUGUGCCCAGAGGGGAUUAGCUAGUAGGGGGGGUAACGGCUCACCUAGGCGACGAUCCCUAGCUGGUCUGAGAGGAUGACCAGCCACACUAGAAGUGAGACACGGACCAGACUCCGAGGGGAGGCAGCAGUGGGGAAUAUUGCACAAUGGGCACAAGCCUGAUGCAGCCAGGCCGCGUGUAUGAAGAAGGCCUUCGGGUUGUAAAGUGCUUUCAGCGGGGAGGCGUUACCCGCAGAAGAAGCGCCGGCUAACUCCGUGCCAGCAGCCGCGGUAAUAC
rnacentral:rRNA from 1 species